AUCGUGUGCUCUGGGAGUGCGGUCCUGAGUUGGCAGCCGCUGCUAUUCGUCAGGGUUGUAUCCAAGACGUUGCC
rnacentral:tRNA from 1 species